AAUUAGAUAGGCCCCCAAUUUACUUUUUGUUUAUGGCCUCCAUAACUCUAGGGACGCCCCUGCAAACGUCUUUUCAGAGCGUUCGUUUAAUUGCUAGCGAAGUCCCCCGCCAUAAACAAGAGAUAAAAUCCUGAGAGAAGCAGAGAGGAAACCCGCCUAAACCAUUCAGUCAAGUCCUCAGACUGUGUUAAUCCAAAUCGAACCGGGUAUAGCUUUCACCAUGGUUUCUCUCUCUUUCCUCAGCCUCCCGUCGAUCUUCUUCUUCGUCAUGUUCUCCCAAACCGAUGAGCUUCUAACUUCUGAGAACCUCCUCUUAGCUCUGAUCUUCGUCGCGUCCUUCUCUUCAUCGCCUCGAGUGUGUACUUAUAUUUUAUUGAGCAUUUUUCUGCCUGGAUUGAUUUUGUAAGUAUCAUAAUCUAAUGAUUCCUGGUUUCUCUUUCCUACUACACUACACGUGAUGAUUUCGUUUACUUUUUGGUUUUGUUUAUACUUUUUUCCUAAUUGAAUAACAAGUACACAUUGUGUCGUGAUCCCACAAAGAAAGAUAUGGUGCCCAGAUGGUGAUAUAAUUGAAUGUGUUCCUUUCUCAAAGCAACCAGCUUUUGAUCAUCCUUUCCUCAAAUAUCACAAGAUUCAGCCUAAUUACGAUCCUAAAGAACUCUUUGAUGACAACAAAGUGUCGUCUUCUACUACGUCAAAAGAGAAGGGCAAUAUAUCCCUCAGUUAUAAAAUAGAUAUGGUAAAUGUACCGAAGGAACCAUUCCUAUGAGGAGGACAAGAAAGGUGAUGCCUUGAGAGCAAGUUCAGUCAAAAUAUAUGGCAAGAAGAAGCAUAGAACUGUCAUCUUACCUAAAUCUGCAGAACCUGGCCUCAUCAACCAAAGUGGUCACUAGGUGGUGAAAUACAUCAUUUAUGGUCCUGGAAAGAAGAAAUAUAGGUUCUGUAAGAAUUUGACAAAACAUCGUACCCUUGGCUUGCCAAGUGAAAUAAUGAGUAAAGGAAAGCACUUCAUCUUGAUACGCAAUCCCGUUCACAUAUUGCCUUCUUUUGACAAGGUAAUCCCGUUAUCAUUUCUCGACGUGUGAUUGGCAGACUUAGUCUCUGACAACUGAGAACACCAGCACCAGUCAUUGAUGCGGAUGACCUUCAGCGAAAUCCCGAGGUUUCAUUGCUUUAUUAUGAAAUAUUGUAACAAUAAACUCAAUUAGAUUAUGCAAGAAGAUGCUUAUUUUAUGUAGCAUUCAUCUAUUUCUAGGCUACGUUACGUGGUCUUAAGCAUCUUCUUGGAUUUGACCAUAAAUACUAAAUAGCAAAAUAAUAGUUCAUUGUUUGUGUAAUAAGAAUUUUUGUUCACUUAGGCUACGUUUUUUGACA